GCGAGGGGAGUCGGGUGAGACCACGAC
rnacentral:sRNA from 1 species